rnacentral:rRNA from 1 species
GCAGUCGCCACGGUAAUACGAAGGGGGCUAGCGUUGUUCGGAAUUACUGGGCGUAAAGGGCGCGUAGGCGGCCAUUCAAGUUAGAUGUGAAAGCCCUGGGCUCAACCUAGGAAUUGCAUUUGAUACUGUUUGGCUUGAGUUCGGGAGAGGUGAGUGGAAUUCCCAGUGUAGAGGUGAAAUUCGUAGAUAUUGGGAAGAACACCAGUGGCGAAGGCGGCUCACUGGACCGACACUGACGCUGAGGCGCGAAAGCGUGGGGAGCAAACAGGAUUAGAUACCCCUGUAGUCCCUGUCUCUUAUAC